CCCAGACUCCUACGGGAGGCAGCAGUGGGGGAUAUUGCACAAUGGGGGGAACCCUGAUGCAGCGGCGCCGCGUGGGUGAAGAAGUAUUUCGGUAUGUAAAGCCCUAUCGGCAGGGAAGAAAUUGGACGGUACCUGACUAAGAAGCCCUGGCUAACUACGUGCCAGCAGCCGCGGUAAUACGUAGGGGGCAAGCGUUAUCCGGAUUCACUGGGUGUAAAGGGAGCGUAGACGGCCAUGCAAGCCUGGAGUGAAAGCCCGGGGCCCAACCCCGGGACUGCUCUGGGAACUGUGCGGCUGGAGUGCGGGAGGGGCAGGCGGAAUUCCUGGUGUAGCGGUGAAAUGCGUAGAUAUCAGGAGGAACACCGGCGGCGAAGGCGGCCUGCUGGACCGUGACUGACGUUGAGGCUCGAGAGCGUGGGGAGCAAACAGGAUUAGAUACCCCCGUAA
rnacentral:rRNA from 1 species